rnacentral:rRNA from 1 species
AUUGAACGCUGGCGGCAUGCUUUACACAUGCAAGUCGAACGGUAACAGGCCGCAAGGUGCUGACGAGUGGCGAACGGGUGAGUAAUGCAUCGGGACGUGCCCAGUCGUGGGGGAUAACGCAGCGAAGGCUGUGCUAAUACCGCAUACGAUCUGUGGAUGAAAGCGGGGGACGGAAAGGCCUCGCGCGAUUGGAGCGGCCGAUGUCAGAUUAGGUAGUUGGUGGGGUAAAGGCUCACCAAGCCAACGAUCUGUAGCUGGUCUGAGAGGACGACCAGCCACACUGGGACUGAGACACGGCCCAGACUCCUACGGGAGGCAGCAGUGGGGAAUUUUGGACAAUGGGCGCAAGCCUGAUCCAGCAAUGCCGCGUGCAGGAAGAAGGCCUUCGGGUUGUAAACUGCUUUUGUACGGAGCGAAAAGGCUCUCUCUAAUACAGGGGGCUCAUGACGGUACCGUAAGAAUAAGCACCGGCUAACUACGUGCCAGCCGCCGCGGUAAAAC